GGGAGGCUAAAUGACCACUCCACCCUCUGCAAAUGUGAAAAAUUUCACCCUGUUGAUGCUUGUGUGAGCAAUGUGAUUGGCUGUGUGCUGCUGCAGGGGCCAUGCUGCCAGGCAGAGAACCCUCUCCCAUUAAAUAUAUAGGAGGAGUGGUGGUCUAAUUGACCUAGUCACGGAAUCUCCUUGUCUCUCUCUCUCAAGCGUCCCUUUCUCUUAGAAGUUUGAGAGUCUCUCGCUCUCACAUCAAUAAAGAUAGAAAGUAACUAAUAAUCGAAGUAGGACAUCGUAAAAUGACAACAGUAGAAAUUAAGUGAUAAAGAUAGAAGCCACAUCCCAAUUGUAAUUUAAAUUUGAUAUGAUGUAUCUGACGAGAUAUAGGGUGUCUCAUACAUUUAUUAUCAAUUUUUCUUUUAGUAAAAUACAUUUAUUACCAUUUAUCACAAUUAAUAACUUUCCCAGUGUGGAUAUUACUCGGUUUGUUUCAUCGGUUUUUUUUUUUUUUUUUUUAGUAAAUUACAUUUAUUCAUCGGUUACAAUUUUCCUCCUGCAAGAUUUUGCUAUAUAAUGCCUCCAACAACUCCCAUGGAAGGAUGAAGCUUUAGAAUUUUUUUUCUUCUUUACCAACAUAUCUAGUCAUUGGCCUGAACCCUAGACAACCUUGGGGAACUUCAAACUAGGUUUUUCUUGUUGAAGAGAAGGUGCGAGGGAAACCAGGUUAUACCAAUGCUGUUGCAGUACCUUGAAAAUGUGUAGAUGCUGCAGAUCCGGUUGAUCUCACAUGAGAGCUGUAGAUUUAUUUGGUCCAACAAGUGCUCAGAUGUUUCAUUUCUCGUCAUCUUCAAGUUGUUUCUAAUGUUAUGCCAGCUAUUUAAAGUCACUCAUCUUUCAGCUAAUGACAAUACGAAGAGGAAAAAAAGAACGAAACAAUUUGCGCGUGAUUUGCUGGGAGAAUGUUUUCAUCGCAUCAAUGAUUUACCAGAACCUAAAACCAUCAUCUUAGAUCUUUGUUCUCUGAUGGAUUGGUAAUCCUUUUACCUGUUUCCUCUCUAGAUUUUCUUACUGAAUUUAUAACAUCUUUUUCACUACCGUUUCACCUAAAAUCUCAUCUCAAACUGUUAGUGAAAGGCCACAUCAAUGUAUACAUCAACACUGUCCCGCACAUGCAGGUCAAGAUCCCAUGGUCCUUACACGUGGAGCUCAUGCUACAUAUCCUUCGUAUGACACCAAGGGAGAAGAAGUGUCAGGAAGGCUCUUCUGAUGCACUUCCCAGGAGUCAAACAUUUGGAUUCUUCACUUCCUUUGGUUCCAUGUUCGCUACCAACAACAACAACAACAACAACUCUGCCACCCCAACUAAAUGGGGUCGGCUACAUGGAUCCGUCAAAGAAAAUGAUAAAAGGAAGAAGAAAGAAAAGGGGAAAAGAUAAAGAAAAGAAACAAGGCAAGCAUACCAUGUUUGCUACCGUUUCACCUUAAAGCUCAAACUGCUAGGGAAAGGCAACGUCAAUUUAUAAAUCAACAAUCAUCAAAAGAUAGUGUUAUGAAAGACUAUAUGGACCAAGAAUCAUAUGAUCACACUUAUUACAAAUAUUUGAGCAUAAUUCCUUUCAUCUGCUUCCAAUGCCUCACAGAUUACGGUCCUAUAUCACUCUGAAUCUACUUCAACGGUGAUUAAAAAAACAGGGAAAACGUGCUUCAGAUACAAUCAAUUGAAGCUUAGCUCGGAAGGUGAUGACUACACUGCGGAUCUGACUGUGGAAAUGGGGUUCCAAUCCAAUGGAACUAAAGAUAAUGAGAAAAAUAUUGUGGAUCUUAAUUUGAGGAUUGAUGGUCCUCAACCACAUGAAUCCAAAGAGGGAAAAAGAAAAUGUUGUAUAAGAAAGUGCAACCAAAGAUGUUCCAGAGGCAGGCAAAAGUAAUGUGAAUGAUGAUAACAAGGAAGAAGAGGAUCUUAUUUUAGUAGAAAUCUCUUGUGAAUGGGGAUAAUAUGCAAUUCGAUUUUUUGGAUGAUUGGAUAAUUUUAUGAGCCAGAUUAGUAAAUCAAGAGGCACACAUUUCAGUAGUCAAUAUUCAAAAUGUAAGACUCGUUUGAGGAAUCUAUUUAUGUGAUCUGAAUUCUCUGACAUUUGUUUCGGAGUUUGUUAGUCCUUCGUCACUUAGGCUUUUCUUCUUAUCUUUUCCAUUUUUUUUUUAUUCCCAUUAGCCCAAAUAGUUGUUAUUCCAUACUCUAAACAUCUAGUAUGGUUUAGAUUUGGAACGGUUGUCUACAUGAGUAUAGAAUUUAAUGGCUUCUUUCUAGAAGUUUGUUAUGUUGAGAAGGGGCUGGAACGUACCAACCUCUAUUUAUUCAUAUUGCUUAUGGUAUAUGCAUGGACACAUACAUCCA